GUUCUUUAGUAUAUAACACAGUACAUUUGACUUACAAUCAAAAAGGUCAUAAUUAAUGGAGGAGCU
rnacentral:tRNA from 1 species